rnacentral:misc_RNA from 1 species
CCAAUUGAGUCAUCUACUGUUGAUUUGAAUCUGCCAAUAGAAUCUCCUGUGGUUGAUUUGAAUUUACCUAUGGAGUCUCCUACAGCUGAUGUGGUAAGUAUACCUGUUAUAGUUAGGCUCUUUCUUUUGUUUGUACUUUAUUCACUGGGCCCAAAGUUUAUAUUAGGAUUUUGACUUAUCUUUCAGUUAUUCCUCCACAUAGGGGUGGCCAUGGUCCAGUUUUGAACUGGAACUGGACCAAAACCGGGCCAAACUGGAACCAGCUUCUAACUGGACCAGGACCGGUCUCCCGCGGUUUGGUUCAGGUUCAUAUUU